GGAUGUUAAAUGGGAUGUUGUGUGUGUGAUGUUAAAUGGGAUGUUGUGUGUGGGAUGUUAAAUGGGAUGUUGUGUGUGUGAUGUUAAAUGGGAUGUUGUGUGUGUUCUUUCUUUUGCAGUCCUUCUACACAACGCCAUUCCUUUUGUAGGAUUUGGUUUCCUGGACAACGCCAUCAUGAUUGUAGCUGGCACGCAGAUUGAGUUGUCCAUAGGUGUGAUCCUUGGGAUUUCAACCAUGGCAGCUGCUGCCCUGGGGAACCUUGUGUCGGACCUGGCUGGACUCGG